UCGGGAAUUUUGGGCAAUGGGCGAAAGCCUGACCCAGCAACGCCGCGUGAGGGAUGAAGUAUUUCGGUAUGUAAACCUCGAAAGAAUGGGAAGAAUAAAUGACGGUACCAUUUAUAAGCUCCGGCUAACUACGUGCCAGCAGCCGCGGUAAUACGUAGGGAGCAAGCGCUGUUCGGAUUUACUGGGCGUAAAGGGCGCGUAGGCGGCGCGGUAAGUCACUUGUGAAAUCUCUGAGCUUAACUCAGAACGGCCAAGUGAUACUGCUGUGCUAGAGUGCGGAAGAGGCAACCGGAAUUCUUGGUGUAGCGGUGAAAUGCGUAGAUAUCAAGAGGAACACCUGAGGCGAAGGCGGGUUGCUGGGCCGACACUGACGCUGAUGCGCGAAAGCCAGGGGAGCAAACG
rnacentral:rRNA from 1 species